rnacentral:rRNA from 1 species
AGUCGAGCGGAGAUGAGGUGCUUGCACCUUAUCUUAGCGGCGGACGGGUGAGUAAUGCUUAGGAAUCUGCCUAUUAGUGGGGGACAACAUUCCGAAAGGAAUGCUAAUACCGCAUACGUCCUACGGGAGAAAGCAGGGGAUCUUCGGACCUUGCGCUAAUAGAUGAGCCUAAGUCGGAUUAGCUAGUUGGUGGGGUAAAGGCCUACCAAGGCGACGAUCUGUAGCGGGUCUGAGAGGAUGAUCCGCCACACUGGGACUGAGACACGGCCCAGACUCCUACGGGAGGCAGCAGUGGGGAAUAUUGGACAAUGGGGGGAACCCUGAUCCAGCCAUGCCGCGUGUGUGAAGAAGGCCUUAUGGUUGUAAAGCACUUUAAGCGAGGAGGAGGCUACUGAGACUAAUACUCUUGGAUAGUGGACGUUACUCGCAGAAUAAGCACCGGCUAACUCUGUGCCAGCAGCCGCGGUAAUACAGAGGGUGCGAGCGUUAAUCGGAUUUACUGGGCGUAAAGCGUGCGUAGGCGGCUUUUUAAGUCGGAUGUGAAAUCCCCGAGCUUAACUUGGGAAUUGCAUUCGAUACUGGGAAGCUAGAGUAUGGGAGAGGAUGGUAGAAUUCCAGGUGUAGCGGUGAAAUGCGUAGAGAUCUGGAGGAAUACCGAUGGCGAAGGCAGCCAUCUGGCCUAAUACUGACGCUGAGGUACGAAAGCAUGGGGAGCAAACAGGAUUAGAUACCCUGGUAGUCCAUGCCGUAAACGAUGUCUACUAACCGUUGGGGCCUUUGAGGCUUUAGUGGCGCAGCUAACGCGAUAAGUAGACCGCCUGGGGAGUACGGUCGCCAGACUAAAACUCAAAUGAAUUGACGG